GUUCUUGCAGUGGGAAUUCUAUUGUUGCUGAGCUACAUGGUGAAGUUGGGUGGCCAGCAUCUUCUAGCUAUGGUGAACCAAAAUACACUCAAGGAGAAAACAUCUAGUGGUAUGCAGGGUGUAAACAACGAAUGGUGCACACUUCUUCACCUUCUUGGCUGUUGUCUUCUUUCACAAGCACAUCUUCAAUCAUCAUGGGGUUCUACUGAAAAGAAAGUUAAUGAAGCCAUUUCUUGCUUUUUUUAGGUUAAUUAGUUCGGAAUCUAACACAGCUGGAAGAAGGUCGUGGAUACUUUCAUUUGGACUUGGUUAUACAAAAAGGUUAUAUAGUUAGGGAAAACCUCUUAAUAGCAAUGUACAAUUAGGUCCCCUUAAUACCCAU